CUACGGGAUGCUCCAGUGGGGAAUUUUGGACAAUGGACGCAAGUCUGAUCCAGCAAUGCCGCGUGCAGGACGAAGGCCUUCGGGUUGUAAACUGCUUUUGUACGGAACGAAACGGUGAGCUCUAAUACAGUUUGCUAAUGACGGUACCGUAAGAAUAAGCACCGGCUAACUACGUGCCAGCAGCCGCGGUAAUACGUAGGGUGCGAGCGUUAAUCGGAAUUACUGGGCGUAAAGCGUGCGCAGGCGGUUAUAUAAGUCAGAUGUGAAAUCCCCGGGCUCAACCUGGGACCUGCAUUUGAGACUGUAUAGCUAGAGUACGGUAGAGGGGGAUGGAAUUCCGCGUGUAGCAGUGAAAUGCGUAGAUAUGCGGAGGAACACCGAUGGCGAAGGCAAUCCCCUGGACCUGUACUGACGCUCAUGCACGAAAGCGUGGGGAGCAAACAGGAUUAGAUACCCCCGUAGUC
rnacentral:rRNA from 1 species